GACCAGUUAGCUCAGUCAGUUGAGUGUGGUGCUAACAACACCAAGGUCAUGGGUUCGAUUCCCGUUCGGUCC
rnacentral:tRNA from 1 species